UUGUUGUCAUUUUUCUGCAAUUUAAAAAUCUUUUAAAAAUCGCUUAUCGAGCUAUUGGGUAAACGAACAACAAAUGCAAUUGGGACCUCACCGGCUUUAUCAACAAAUAACAACUUCUCAAGCUUCAUCCGGCAGCUCAACACUUAUGCAAAUUUAGGUGGAGAAGGACUAUGGUAGCCACAAGAUGAAUGUAAAAUGAAGAUGUGGCUGCUCGAGUGCGAACUCUUUUUGAUUUUGUUUCUUGUCUUGUAGAUACAAUAUAGUUGAGAAAAAAUCAGGUACAUUAAUUUUACUGGUAUGUUUUUUUGUGACUUUAUUUGGCGAAUGGAGAUUGAGUGAUGUUGGCUAAUUUGUGACUUUAUUUGGCGAAUGAAUAUGGAUUUCAGAUGGGUUCUUUAUACAAAUCUCUAAAUUGGAAAAUAUUUGUUGCUAAAUGCUUGAUUUUUCAUAGUUCGGAAAACUCUUUUUUAUGCUUUACUUUUGAUUUAUCAAGUAUGGUGCUAUGUUGAUUAAUUUAAGUAUGUAUGCAGUAUGUUUAGUUUCUAGGACAUUUCUUAACAAUUUUAUGGUGCAGGCUACAAUAUAGUAGACAAAGUCUUUUAAAGUGAGCAACUAAUAAAUGAGAGUCAUAAGGUUUUUAUCAUUAGAAAUGUAAGAAGAAGAGCUAAAGGUAUACUAGAAAUAAAAGUCAUAAGUCAUAAGGUCUGUUUAGUUCCUAUUUAUGUCGUUUGACUCUAGUAUAUUAUGAUUGUAGGAAUUUUAGAAUUGGAGUUGGGAAGAGUUGGCCCUGUACGAUCUUGCAGAAAUGAUUAACUAUAUAAAUUCCUUGACAAACAGGAAAAUUUAUAUUGUUGGACACUCACAGGGAAUAAUUAUGUCUUUUGCUGCUCUUACCCAGCCAUAAAUAGCCAAGAAUGUUGAAGCAGCUGCUCUUUUAAGUCUAUAUCGUACUUGGAACAUAUUACUGCUCCAUUAGUACGUCUAAUGGUUGACACACAUCUUGAUACGAUAAUUCUUGCCUCAGGAUUUCAUGAACUCAACUUUAAAAGCGAUUGGGGAACAAUCCUUUUAGAUAAUCUUUGUGAUCGGCUUGUUAACUGCAUCAAUGUUCUUAGUUCAAUAACAGAUAAUUGAAGUCAUAUCGGGUUGAAAGCUAAGCGAUUGUGCAGAGAUUGCCAAGCGACCGUUGAAAAUUGAAGAUUGAGAAGGCAUUUAGGAUUUUUAAUUAUUUAAUUCUUGUAUUAGAAUCUUUUUUCAUGUACUAUUGUAGAAUGUAUAUAUAAACAUAAUAUUAAGAUUUUAUUUUGUGUAUUCAAAUGUAAAAGACAAAUAUUAUAGUUUCUAACAUAAUAUGAAUUUGUUGGCGUGUGAAAAA